AAACAGUAUAAAGAUACAAAAGGCGCUUUGCAAAGCUGAAUGGAGCACUGAACAAUGAUAAGUAUGAGACAUGGUUCGAAACUUUAAACAAAACUCAAAAGGUAAUCGAAAAGUCCCAGUCGACCUCGGCAACAGGAUGAUCGGAAUGAAAAGAGAAACAACUAUUGCCCCUCUCUGGUGGAUAAUCUUCCUAUCCCUAUGCCAUUAUGAUCUCAGGUGUCGACCAUCAUAGAAAACGUAUCAAACCUUUAUAAUAAUAUUCGGUUUACUGAUGAUACUCUUUCCGCUCAGAGGUUUUUAAAGACACCCUUUAUCGCGCCAAAUAGUCGGUUUAUCAUACAGGCCCUAGCUACUUCAACACAAUUGCCUAGGUCAUAUUUGUGACCAUUAGUUUCCUCCUUUACCAUAAUUAUGCAACUGUAUUUCGUAAUAAAUCUGAUAUGCUGUCCCCGUAUGCUGCAUAGGAAAAACAACAUUGUGUGAGUAAUGAUAAUUCGUGUAUAGCCAUAAUCCGCAUGCAUGACAUGAUCAAUAAUACAUUCAAUGGUACCGUUUGAGGUCAGAACCUUUAUUGUUAUGAUCUGUAUGGAUGAGGAAAUCAAUGAAUGGCUUCAACAAAAUUAAGAAUGCAUUGGCGUUCCGUUGACUGGAGUAUUAUGAGGCGCCAUGCAUAUUUGACGAAAAGAUUCAGAGGGAAACUAGUUCUGACGUAUUUUACAAAGCCUGGGGAAAAUAAGAUCAUCGAUUUGACUGCGCUCCACCAAGAUCUUUAGAUCUUGCAUUAAGGUACGAUAAUACGCCAGUGGCGGACUGUACCAGCCUGGAAGAAGAAGAAAGGAAUCAGUUUCAAGAUGGCGUGUAACAUCAAUAAAGACUUCCUGCACAUCAAGCUGAUUUACUUCACGUAUCUGGGAGCCUUCGCCUGUAUGCUCCCGUACAUCUCUGUGUAUCUCAUCCACAUUGGUCUUUCCGUUUGGCAAGUGGGAAUCAUUCGUUCCUUGGAACCUGUUCUAACCUUCUUCUUUAGUCCACUUUGGGGAGGAGUAGCAGAUAGAUACAGCAAACAUAGACUAGCCACAAGUAUAGCCAUAAUCGGGGCUGCUGUAGCAUACUUCAUUUUCAUUUUUGUACCUCUGAUGACCGGGGUUUCCCCGGACUCCUUACUACAGGACGCGGCUGAGAACUGCUCUGCUGAUACAACAGAGUGGAACAUCUCCGAUGGCCAUGAUGGCAUGUGCGAUGAUGCUGUCAUUGUAGACGGACAAGGGGUGGGAUAUGAUGAAAGUAAGAUUGAUGUACUGAUGGGUUGUACAGAAAUGUGUGCAGGUAUGCCAUCCAGUAACCAUGGAAACCACGCAGGUAUGGUUGGUUAUUGUUUGAGACGUGAUGACGGAUGGGACUGUAGCCCGUGUCCUGAAACUGAGAAUCGCCACACUGAGGACAUCGCAGAAGACAGUAUGACCUUGUACGGAAUAUCAUGCGCAUCAUCACAAAUGGUCGACUUGGUUACUACAGGAUCAGGAAACAAGACUGUACUCCUUCCUUCUUCUGUUCGACAUACUGAAAACAAUGUUAGUAUGUGCCAGCGAUCUGCCUGUUGCCAAUGUGAGACAAAGAGAAUUCCAACACCUCGUCAGGGGGUGACCUUUGCUAUAUGCACUGUCUUUGCAAUUUUGGGAGUGGUAUUCAACUGCAACAUCCUUAUGUUCUUUGAUUCUCUCACCAUGGAACUCAUCAAGGGAAAGAAAGCAGACUACGGCAAGAAUCGAGUAUGGGGAGCGAUAAGCUGGGGGCUCUUUGCCUUUUUGAGCGGGGCAGCCAUCGAUUUGUACACAGACCUGGUCAAGACGAAGACGGAUCGUUUGGAGCCAGCAUUUAUUAUGUAUCUCUUCGGAAUGUUAGCCUGUCUCGCCAUAUUUCUUCAUAUGAAACUUCCAAAUCACAAGAAGCCCGAGGCUAUGAAGAAAAAUUUGAAGACAGUAUUGUGCGACGGGGAGGUGAUCCUGUUCCUCAUCGUGGUCGUUGUGACCGGUAUCUCCUUCAUUUUAAGCUUCACUUAUGUGGUCAUCUUCAUGAAAGAACUGGGCAGUCCCUACUUGCUUCUUGGUCUGGCUGUCACCUUGACCGCCAUCGCUGAAAUCCCUUUCAUGUAUUUCUCAGGAGCUAUAAUCAAGCGUGUUGGUUACGCAGGUGUGAUGUAUAUGACUUUAAUAGCAUAUGCUAUCAGAUACUUUGGUUACUCAUUUGUUUACAACCCUUGGUUUAUCCUUCCCGUUCAACUUCUUCAUGGUAUAACUUAUGGUCUCUCGUGGCCCAUGUUUACAGCAUUCGCCAAUAAAACAGCACCUAAAGGGAUGGCCAGCACCCUUCAAUCAAUAGUUGCCUGUUGCUUCAUGGGUUUUGGUGCUGGAGUUGGUAAUGCUGUGGGUGGUAUCAUCUAUGAAAACUAUGGUGCGAGACUACUGUUCAGGUGUACUGGGUCUCUCUGUCUUCUGACACUUGUCAUCUUUUUCUUCAUCACCGUUUUUGUCCUGAGACGAAAAAAGAAAGAAGAGGAGGCAAACGUGGACGAAGAACCGGAGAAAUGCAAAAUGAAGGGGUUUCAUGCGAAAAAAAUACACGGUUUACAAGAUGACAAGACGGAAGGCUUACAAGAGGAUAAGACGGGGUGACUUACAAGAAGAUAAGACGAAAGACUUACAAGAGGAUAAGACGAGAGGCUUACAAGAUGUCAAGACGGAAGACUUACAAGAGGAUAAGACGGAAUGCUUACAAAACGGCAAGACGGAAGACUUACAAGAUUACAAGAAGACUUACAAGAGGACAGGACGGAAGACUUACAAGAGACGCCCCCUGUGACGCCCCAAAUUGGGAAGAUAUCGAGAGAAGUGAAAAGGAAUGUAGUACGGAUGAGGAUCAAGAUGAUGUUCGACA
rnacentral:misc_RNA from 1 species